rnacentral:rRNA from 1 species
UACGUAGGGUGCGAGCGUUAUCCGGAUUCACUGGGUUUAAAGGGUGCGUAGGCGGGCAGGUAAGUCAGAGGUGAAAUCUCCGGGCUUAACCCGGAAACUGCCUUUGAUACUAUCUGUCUUGAAUAUGGUGGAGGUAAGCGGAAUAUGUCAUGUAGCGGUGAAAUGCUUAGAUAUGACAUAGAACACCCAUUGCGAAGGCAGCUUACUACGCCUAUAUUGACGCUGAGGCACGAAAGCGUGGGGAUCAAACAGG